AGAGUUUGAUCUUGAGUGGGAUGAACGCUGGCGGCGUGCCUAACACAUGCAAUUUGAGCGAUUCUCUUCGGAGAAGAGCGGCGGACGGGUGAGUAACGCGUGGGUAACCUGCCCUGUACACACGGAUAACAUACCGAAAGGUAUGCUAAUACGGGAUAAUAUAUAAGAGUCGCAUGACUUUUAUAUCAAAGAUUUUUCGGUACAGGAUGGACCCGCGUCUGAUUAGCUUGUUGGCGGGGUAACGGCCCACCAAGGCGACGAUCAGUAGCCGACCUGAGAGGGUGAUCGGCCACAGUGGAACUGAGACACGGUCCAAACUCCUACGGGAGGCAGCAGUGGGGAAUAUUGCACAAUGGGCGCAAGCCUGAUGCAGCAACGCCGCGUGAGCGAUGAAGGCCUUCGGGUCGUAAAGCUCUGUCCUCAAGGAAGAUAAUGACGGUACUUGAGGAGGAAGCCCCGGCUAACUACGUGCCAGCAGCCGCGGUAAUACGUAGGGGGCUAGCGUUAUCCGGAUUUACUGGGCGUAAAGGGUGCGUAGGCGGUCUUUCAAGUCAGGAGUUAAAGGCUACGGCUCAACCGUAGUAAGCUCCUGAUACUGUCUGACUUGAGUGCAGGAGAGGAAAGCGGAAUUCCCAGUGUAGCGGUGAAAUGCGUAGAUAUUGGGAGGAACACCAGUAGCGAAGGCGGCUUUCUGGACUGUAACUGACGCUGAGGCACGAAAGCGUGGGGAGCAAACAGGAUUAGAUACCCUGGUAGUCCACGCUGUAAACGAUGAGUACUAGGUGUCGGAGGUUACCCCCUUCGGUGCCGCAGCUAACGCCUUUAAUUACUCCG
rnacentral:rRNA from 1 species